UACGUAGGGGGCAAGCGUUGUCCGGAUUUAUUGGGCGUAAAGAGCGUGUAGGCGGCUUUACAGGUCCGUUGUGAAAACUCGAGGCUCAACCUCGAGACGCCGGUGGAAACCGUAAAGCUAGAGUCCGGAAGAGGAGAGUGGAAUUCCUGGUGUAGCGGUGAAAUGCGCAGAUAUCAGGAGGAACACCAACGGCGAAGGCAGCUCUCUGGGACGGUACUGACGCUGAGACGCGAAAGCGUGGGGAGCAAACAGG
rnacentral:rRNA from 1 species